AGCAGCCGCGGUAAUUCCAGCUCCAAUAGCGUAUAUUAAAGUUGUUGCAGUUAAAAAGCUCGUAGUUGAAUUUCGGGAUCAAGGAAUCGGUCAUGCCUUGGUAUGUACUGGUUUUAUUGGUUCUCACCUUCUAAAGAACCAUAAUGUCAUUCAUUUGAUGUUAUGGGGAAUUAGGACUGUUACCUUGAAAAAAUUAGAGUGUUUAAAGCAGGCUUACGCUUGAAUACAUUAGCAUGGAAUAAUGAAAUAGGACGUUUGAUUCUAUUUUGUUGGUUUCUAGGAUCGACGUAAUGAUUAAUAGGGAUAGUUGGGGGCAUUAGUAUUCAAUUGUCAGAGGUGAAAUUCUUGGAUUUAUUGAAGACUGACUACUGCGAAAGCAUUUGCCAAGGAUGUUUUCAUUAAUCAAGAACGAAAGUUAGGGGAUCGAAGACGAUCAGAUACCGUCGUAGUCUUAACCAUAAACUAUGCCGACUAGGGAUCGGAUGAUGUUAAUUUUUAAUGACUCAUUCGGCGCCUUAAC
rnacentral:rRNA from 1 species